CGAGAAAGCCCGCAAGGGUGAGUAAAGCGGCGCACGGGUGCGUAACACGUGGGUAAUCUGCCCUGGAGCCCGGAAUAACUCUCCGAAAGGAGAGCUAAUGCCGGAUGAGACCACGGGAGCCUCGGCUCCUGCGGGAAAAGGUGGCCUCUGUAUACAAGCUAUCGCUCUAGGAUGAGCCCGCGGCCCAUCAGCUAGUUGGCGGGGUAAUGGCCCACCAAGGCUACGACGGGUAGCUGGUCUGAGAGGACGAUCAGCCACACUGGAACUGAGACACGGUCCAGACUCCUACGGGAGGCAGCAGUGGGGAAUCUUGCGCAAUGGGCGAAAGCCUGACGCAGCAACGCCGCGUGCGUGACGAAGGUCUUCGGAUCGUAAAGCACUGUCGCGAGGGACG
rnacentral:rRNA from 1 species